GCGGGGGUAGCAAAGCUUGGCUAACUGCGAGGGACUUAAGAUCCCUUCCCUUAGGGGUUCGUGGGUUCGAAUCCCACCCCCCGCA
rnacentral:tRNA from 1 species